rnacentral:siRNA from 1 species
UGAUGCGCAUACUACCUCCCGGUC